GGAGAGGUGGCCGAGUUGGCUUAAGGCAACCGCCUGCUAAGCGGUUGUAGGGGCAAAAACCUCUACCCAGGGUUCGAAUCCCUGCCUCUCCGCAA
rnacentral:tRNA from 1 species